CAGAGGUUAUUUUAUUAAAAUACUAGCUUUGGAUGCUUGAGAUAGGAUAUAGUCUUACCUCUGA
rnacentral:tRNA from 1 species